GUUGAUCUGCUUUAGCAUCUUUAGUGCUAUAUGCAAUCAGUAAAUCUAAAAUGGUGCUAAAGAUUGGUUAGAUAUUCAUGUUUAAAUCAAUAUAAGAUUAUAGUCCCUAUUUUCGAUAGCUAAGCAUAAUUUAUUUGAAAUUCCUUUUUACGUAAGAAUAAAAUAAAUUAUAUCAGUAAAUCUCUCCCCAGACUUAAAUUACACUGUCCCAA
rnacentral:lncRNA from 1 species